UACGUAGGGUGCGAGCGUUAAUCGGAUUUACUGGGCGUAAAGCGUGCGCAGGCGGCCUGGUAAGUCAGGGGUGAAAUCCCACGGCUCAACCGUGGAAUUGCCUUUGAAACUGCUGGGCUUGGAUCCUGGAGAGGGUGGCGGAAUUCCUGGUGUAGGAGUGAAAUCCGUAGAUAUAGGGAGGAACACCGGUUGCGAAGGCGGCUACCUGGCCGGUAACUGACGCUGAGGUGCGAGAGCGUGGGGAGCAAACAGG
rnacentral:rRNA from 1 species